UGGCAUUGUAGGUUUAAGAGC
rnacentral:miRNA from 1 species